UACGUAGGGUGCAAGCGUUAAUCGGAAUUACUGGGCGUAAAGCGUGCGCAGGCGGUUGUGCAAGACCGAUGUGAAAUCCCCGGGCUCAACCUGGGAAUGGCAUUGGUGACUGCACGGCUAGAGUGUGUCAGAGGGGGGUAGAAUUCCACGUGUAGCAGUGAAAUGCGUAGAGAUGUGGAGGAAUACCGAUGGCGAAGGCAGCCCCCUGGGAUAACACUGACGCUCAUGCACGAAGGCGUGGGGAGCAAACAGG
rnacentral:rRNA from 1 species